UACAGAGGGUGCGAGCGUUGUUCGGAAUUAUUGGGCGUAAAGGGCGCGUAGGCGGUGCGGUAAGUCACCUGUGAAAUCUCCUGGCUCAACUGGGAGCUUGCAGGCGAAACUGCCGUGCUGGAGUGUGGGAGAGGUGCGUGGAAUUCCUGGUGUAGCGGUGAAAAUGCGUAGAUAUCAGGAGGAACACCUGUGGCGAAAGCGGCGCACUGGACCACAACUGACGCUGAGGCGCGAAAGCUAGGGGAGCAAACAGG
rnacentral:rRNA from 1 species